AUGACUAUGACAGCGUGGUGUGUGUGUGACGCCUCCUACUGUGACAACCCGGGCAUUAUCACCUUCCCUGAGAAAGGGAAGUUCACCCUCGUCACCUCCACCAAGGACGGCCUCAGGUUCAACGUGGAAGAGUUCCCCGUCUCCAACAAGGAGAUCCCUGGUGAUUAACGGAGGUAAACCCUCUCGAGGCUGAAGGAGUCAGCGGUCCUGUUGUAAACAGUUGUGUACAAGUGACAGUCUGUGAAGGAGGAGUGAUCAAAUGGACUUUUCUCUCACAACUCUCCUACUGUGUUUCUCGCAACUAUCGUCUUGUAUAACAUUACUUUAACACAGACUCGAAGCCUCUAAGGCAGCAGCAGCUUUUUUUAAUACACACCAAUAACCUACAACAAGCAACACAUGCUCAGUCAACACAUGUUAUCUCCAGACGCUGUGGUGGUGACCAUCAACCCAUAGGACGAGUAUCAGAUCAUCCUAGGCUUCGACGGCGCCUUCACCGACUCCACAGGUCUUAAUGUGAUGACGCCGAGAUAAAGGUGUCCAUCACUGAUGGCUCCGACGUUUUCGUCAAUUACGGUGUGGAAGCCGGAGCCAUCCAGACCAUCUUGUACUAGCCCCCGGCAGGACCCGACCUGGUUCAACCACCAGUUGAACCCUUCUUACUAAAUCUACCAAUAAAAUUAACAAAAAUUAA